UCUGUAUCGAUGGCAACAUUUCAAGCUAGCUGUGGAGUGAUCUUACGCCACGUUCUUAACUCUUGUUACAUAUGCCAUGCUUAUGGUGCCAUCUAAACUAAAAUCUUGUCUUCCAGGCGUUCAUCACCACAGAGGUGUUGAAACUGUAUAGCCUGAAGAAAGACCUCAACCAGAAAACAGAUUGGCAGAAGAUGCUGAAAUUCGGAAGGAAAAAACGGGAUCGAGUAGAUCAUAUUCUGGUCCAGGAGCUUCAUGAGGAAGAGUCUCUGUGGGUGAACUAUGAUGAGGAUGAGCUCUAUGUCAAGAUGCAGUUGGCUGACGGUAUCUUUGAUUCGUUGAUAAAAGACACAGCAGAAGUUCUCACACAAAUUCAGGAGAAUAGAUUGAAAAGAGCCCUUUCCUGAGCUUUUAAGCCCCCAUUGUAAACCCAUCUUCCACCAGACAGUCCCUCCCACAGCCAACGUGCCAAUGAUCUCCAGAUGCCUUCAGUUCAGUCAAACUGGUACCCCUCUGCAACACAGCUUUGGACUAGCUAAUUGUGGAUCUACCACAUGUCUUACACCAAACAUCUUUGAUCCAGCCUUCAACCAACAUGUAAAGCCUCCCAUGCUGGCUGCCCUGUUCAUGUCCAGUCAAAGAUGGAGUGGAUCUUGUUUCCCAUUAAAUUCAUCAAUGCUGCUAAAUUGACUGUUGAACUCAAGACAGUAUUGAGGAGCAGUCUGGGUCAUCUAAUAAUAGGUGAUGAUGAGAAGAUUUCUAUGUCAAGUGUGGAAGUCAUUGGGGUUAUCAGGUUGUAUAAAAAUGAAAUAUUUUGCCUUUUGUAUUGUGCUAUUUAUUGUAUGGAAAAUUUGCUGUUAACAGGUUUUCGAAACAAAUUACUUCAGCAUUUUGUAAAAGAAUGAUGAAAUAACAAAGCACAAAAAGAAAUGUGAAUGUAGAAAUGGCAAUACAUUGUAUAGGGAGUGAGUGAAAAAUAAAUUAAAAUCUACCUUUUGUAUUUAAUAUUUAAGAAUCCAAAUAUUAGUAAUUGAUGGGUUUAAACACUGUCCUUUUUCUAACAUGUUUUUGCCUCGUAACUAGUGUAUUGGCAAGGAGAACAGAUGCCUAGAGGUUCUACCUGGUUAGAUUGGAAACCAGCCUGUCACGCUGGAUUCAAGCCUUAAAAUUGGCCUUUUACUUGAUUCAGUUAGUGUCUCCUUUUUUUGUUCUGUAUGAUUAUGAAUUGCCACACUCAAAAGCAACAACACAAUUUACAGGCCUUAGUUGAUGUCUCUACUCUUAUGUACCUCCUUUAUUUGAAUGAUAUUUAUAUAUACAGUACAUACCUUUUCAUAAAUACCUAAAGGAAAAGUAUUUUUCCAACUGGGUUAAACUUCAGCCUCUGCCUUGUUCAGUGUUUACCUAAGCAUAGUUCUAACCAGAGAACACCCUUUGAAAUCCCCCAUUUGCCUUUUGCUCACAGACUCGGUAUUGCAUUUCUAAUGGUUCUAAGGUAGCAUGACUCAAAUGCCAUUUAUGGUAGGUAAAUGUAUUAUGCCUUUGGGUGUCACUGAUGAUGCACUUCUGACUUACUGCAAUGGAACCUAAUGUUCUCUCCAUUCGUCACGUACACAAUGGCUUUAGCAGCAUGGUAGCAAGUGUGAGUCAUUGAUUAAUUUGUGUGGGUCCUAGCAUUCAACAACAAUGUUCAAGGGCUUAUUCUGUCCUCUCAUCAGUAGAUACUUUAGUCCAAGAAUGCUGUGAUGUACAAGUUAAUUUACCAUGCACGGUGAUGCUUGUCAAUUGUCAUUUUGGUUAGACAAGUGACCUUAAUGGUGGGAAUGAAAGUAGUUUCCAUGCCAAUUUGCAUUUUUACAACCACUGUUAUUUUACCAGAAGGAGUAGAUUAACUGUCUGUUGUGAAUUUGCAUUUUACCACUGCUGUUAUUUUACCAGGAGUAGAUAAACUGUUAACUGUCUAUUGUGAGACGUUGAACUGUACAUUUCCCUUUAAUACCCAUUUCUCCAUGAUAUGCCCCAUGUUGUGUGGUAUGAGAAAAUAGUGAUGUGAUUUAAUACCUAGUAAAUUAAUUUCCACAGGGCUGAAUUGCAACCCCCCCGUAGAAUGGUGAGAAUAAUCUGAAUUGAUUGUAGCUGUGGAUAAAUAUGAAUUGAUUGUAGCUGGUGGAUGUAAUGUCCCAUUUAUAACUAUGCAGUAUUUGUUGGUUGGGUACAUUGUUUUAUGUUUGGAUCGUACAAGCCAGCUUUGUAGUCUUGUGGAAAAACAUUGAAUUGCAAUGUAACCAAUACGCCUCCAGACAGUUUUCAAACUGCUGUCUGUAGUAGGUUUGUGUUGGCCCUUGCUGUGAAGAUGGGUAUUCUAACUCCAAAGCAAAAAUGUAUAUUAGGCUAAAAUGGUUUGAUAAUGAAAUUGAGUACACUAGAGAUCUUUUUGCAUCUUUUAAAGUGUAUGAAUAUUUAGACUGUACUACUGUCAGAGACGCAGCUACACUAGACUUGUGAAUUGUUUUAUGGGGUGUAAAUAUACUAGAACAGUUCCCUAUUGGAUCUGACUCACUAUUGAACCUGGAAGAUAUUUGUAAAAUAAACAUUGUUCACAUUGCAGAUAUGUAUAUAGUAUACAUAUAUUUUAACUAAAUUGAACGUUGAAGUUGUAAAUAAAGCUUUAUUUCCAAAUAUUAAAUGUCUGCUAUAACCUGCAAAAAUCAUCCCUAGCACAGUGCCUCAAGUACGUUUGGCCAAAUGUGGUUUACCUUUUCCUUUUUUUUGCCUUAUUAUUUUUCCCAAUUUUAGUGAUUGUCAUAAGUGUAUUAUUAUAAACAAAGCUGCAGGACUUCCUCACUGUGUCCUGUUGCACCCUGAGUUAUACCCCACACAUUAUCACAAUGCUGACUCAUCACCUCAGUCUUUGAUUGUCAUUAGCUUGUGGAAGUAGAAUAUGACAAGCAUUAAAGUACAGUAAAGCUCAUACAUUGAAAAUGUAACCCAUA
ensembl:lncRNA